UUGCUUUGGCAGCACAUAUACUAAAAUUAGAAUUAUACAGAGAGGAUUUGCAUGGCCCCUUUGCAAGAAUGACAGGCAAAUUUGUGAAGCAUUCCAUAUUUUU
ensembl:snRNA U6 U6 spliceosomal RNA